rnacentral:rRNA from 1 species
ACUCCUACGGGAGGCAGCAGUGGGGAAUAUUGCACAAUGGGCGCAAGCCUGAUGCAGCCAUGCCGCGUGUAUGAAGAAGGCCUUCGGGUUGUAAAGUACUUUCAGCAGUGAGGAAGGGUGAUAGUUAAUAGCAUACCUNUUUGACUGUUACUGCAGAAGAAGCACCGGCUAACUCCGUGCCAGCAGCCGCGGUAAUACGGAGGGUGCGAGCGUUAAUCGGAAUUACUGGGCGUAAAGCGCAUGCAGGUGGUUUGUUAAGUCAGAUGUGAAAGCCC